AUUGAACGCUGGCGGCAGGCCUAACACAUGCAAGUCGAGCGGAUGACGGGAGCUUGCUCCUUGAUUCAGCGGCGGACGGGUGAGUAAUGCCUAGGAAUCUGCCUGGUAGUGGGGGACAACGAUUCGAAAGGAACGCUAAUACCGCAUACGUCCUACGGGAGAAAGCAGGGGACCUUCGGGCCUUGCGCUAUCAGAUGAGCCUAGGUCGGAUUAGCUAGUAGGUGAGGUAAUGGCUCACCUAGGCGACGAUCCGUAACUGGUCUGAGAGGAUGAUCAGUCACACUGGAACUGAGACGCGGUCCAGACUCCUACGGGAGGCGGCAGUGGGAAUAUUGGACAAUGGGCGAAAGCCUGAUCCAGCCAUGCCGCGUGUGUGAAGAAGGUCUUCGGAUUGUAAAGCACUUUAAGUUGGGAGGAAGGGCAGUAAGUUAAUACCUUGCUGUUUUGACGUUACCGACAGAAUAAGCACCGGCUAACUAUGUGCCAGCCGCCGCCGUAA
rnacentral:rRNA from 1 species